UACGUAGGGUGCAAGCGUUGUCCGGAAUUAUUGGGCGUAAAGAGCUCGUAGGCGGCUUGUCACGUCGACUGUGAAAACCCGGGGCUCAACUCCGGGCCUGCAGUCGAUACGGGCUGGCUUGAGUGCGGUAGGGGAGACUGGAAUUCCUGGUGUAGCGGUGAAAUGCGCAGAUAUCAGGAGGAACACCGGUGGCGAAGGCGGAUCUCUGGGCCUUACCUGACGCUCAGGCGCGAAAGCUAGGGGAGCAAACGGG
rnacentral:rRNA from 1 species